GGCGAGGUAGCACAGUGGACGAUGCGCCGCACUCAUCCUGCGGAGGACGUCGGUUCGAACCCGACUCUCGCCU
rnacentral:tRNA from 1 species